AUUGAACGCUGGCGGAAUGCUUUACACAUGCAAGUCGAGCGGCAGCGCGGGGGCAACCCUGGCGGCGAGCGGCGAACGGGUGAGUAACAUAUCGGAACGUACCCCGUCGUGGGGGAUAACACAGCGAAAGCUGUGCUAAUACCGCAUACGACCUGAGGGUGAAAGCGGGGGACCGUAAGGCCUCGCGCGAUGGGAGCGGCCGAUAUCGGAUUAGCUUGUUGGUGAGGUAAAGGCUCACCAAGGCGACGAUCCGUAGCUGGUCUGAGAGGACGACCAGCCACACUGGAACUGAGACACGGUCCAGACUCCUACGGGAGGCAGCAGUGGGGAAUUUUGGACAAUGGGGGGCAACCCUGAUCCAGCCAUGCCGCGUGAGUGAAGAAGGCCUCGGUUGUAAGCUCUUCGCCGGAGAAGUACGCACAGGCUAAUACCCUGUGUGGAUGACGGUACCGGAA
rnacentral:rRNA from 1 species